CCUGAUGGAGGGGGAUAACUACUGGAAACGGUAGCUAAUACCGCAUAACGUCGCAAGACCAAAGAGGGGGACCUUCGGGCCUCUUGCCAUCGGAUGUGCCCAGAUGGGAUUAGCUAGUAGGUGGGGUAACGGCUCACCUAGGCGACGAUCCCUAGCUGGUCUGAGAGGAUGACCAGCCACACUGGAACUGAGACACGGUCCAGACUCCUACGGGAGGCAGCAGUGGGGAAUAUUGCACAAUGGGCGCAAGCCUGAUGCAGCCAUGCCGCGUGUAUGAAGAAGGCCUUCGGGUUGUAAAGUACUUUCAGCGGGGAGGAA
rnacentral:rRNA from 1 species